CCAAGCUAACGAUGCGGGUUCGAUUCCCGCUACCCGC
rnacentral:tRNA from 17 species